CUCACGCGCGUCUUCUUCAACUCUCUCUCUUCUCCGACCCUAUCGCAUGUCUGAUUGCUAAAACCACCAACGGCGACGGCGAAUAUCGAUUUUUUUCGCCACCGGAAGAGCGAAACUCGUUUAUAAAGAUGGUGUACCGAAGCGUCUCACACUCUACCUCAUCUCUCUCAGAGAUUUAAGCAAACAGAAAAUAAAAAUGAGAUUGUUCAGAUGUUUAGUGCUCCAAACCCUGAGGAAUCUGAGAACCAUCCAUCACAAGAACUUGGAAACUAUCAAGAAACAAUCCUUCACGCCUAUGUUAGACGAGAGAUUCACAAGAAUACUCGAAAAAAUCUUCAAAUGUGCGACCAUCGACUAGUCCGUUCAAUCCUCCACAUAGAAGUUGAUCUCAACCGGUUGAUCAAGACUCAGUUCUUCAAAUGGGCUGGUAAAAGAAGAAACUUCCAACACGAUUCCUCCUCCACUAAUAUGUAUGUAUGUUAGUGUUAGCCCUGGUGUGCUCUCUGAGCUUGUGAAACCCUUGGGACGAGCUAAGAUGGUGAACGCAAGUGCAAACCUACAAGCUCAAGAGUUAUAACGCUGUGAUGAUCAAACAAGUUUUGGGAAAUGUGGGAAGUUAAGUGAAGCGUUAGAUCUCUUCAGUGAAGAUGAAGAACCAAGAAACCGGUCCUGAUGUGUAAUGCUUACAACGCCUCUAGUGUCAGGAAUGGUGAAGCGCUGGUAUGGUAAAUGAAGCUAACUGAUUGCUUAGAAAGAUGGAAGAGAACGGGUGCAUUGCGGAUAUAAACUCUCUUAACAUCAUCCUUAAUGGGUUUGCUAGAACAGGUGAGUGUCAAAGAGGGCUAUAGAAAUAUUUGAAGCUAUAUAUGAAGCAUUCUGGUAAUAUUAAGCCUGAUGGUGUCACUUAUAAUAAUACUCUGCUUGGAUGUUUCUCACACGCUGCAAGAAAUGAUGAGAGAGAUGGAAGAUAAAGACUUAAUUUGUGUAUAUGAUGCAAUCAUUUAUUCAUCGAUACUUGAAUCUGUUUGGCAAUGUGGAUCUCGUAGAAGAUGUUUUCAUCUUUGUAACUUGGCAGUGACUUAGCAGCACGUAAUCAUCGCCUUUUCUUGUGGCAUUAGCCACUAAUGAAUCACAUGAUUAGCUAUGAUUUGUAGCUUUCUUUACC